UUUAAAUGUAAUUAUGGUUUCUGUUUCCAACGUUUAAUUGACGUCUUAUUUAAAUUUUUUUAUAGUUAGUAUUUUAUUGUUAUAAGAUGAUAAAACAUAAAUAAUACUAAUAUUUAUAGGUAUGUGUAUUAUUUUUAUUUUUUUAUAAACUUUUAAAUGAGACGGACCAUCAAACAAGUUGGACACAGAAAACACGAAUGCACUUAUA
rnacentral:pre_miRNA from 1 species